rnacentral:tRNA from 1 species
CAUACCCCGAAAAUGAUGGUUCAACCCCCUCCCCUACUA